rnacentral:tRNA from 2 species
GUUCUUGUAGUUGAAUAACAACGGUGGUUUUUCAAGCCAUUAGUUUAGGUUAAAAUCCUGGCAGGAACU